UCAUGAUUUUUAAUGUGACGGGUUGCGUCACUAGUUACCAGGCCCCUGUUUCACCAACGUGACAGGUGCGACGAAUUGUAAAAUCACUGUUGCUGACGUCACAGGCAUCCAUGGGCUACGGUUACCGCUUACCAUCGGGCGGGCCGUAUUCCUGUUUACCACCAUCAUUGUAUUAUUAAAAAAAACUUUAUGAUAUCGGAAAAAAACAGAUAUUUCUCUUGCUAAGUUUAUGACAAUUGUCACAAGAAACACUACAAUUGUCACGAAAUUCCGACAUAUAACUCAUUACCUGUCAAGAAUUACCUACAAUUCUUCUAAAUCUUUGACAAUUGUCAGAAACUUCGCAGGAGAAAUAUCUGUUUUUAUCCGAUAUAAUAAAGUUUUUUUAAAUAAUACAAUGAUGGUGGCAAACAGGAAUACGGCCCGCCCGAUGGUAAGUGGUAAUCGUAGCCCAUGGAUGCCUGUGACGUCAGCAACAGUGAUUUUACAAUUCGUCGCACCUGUCACCGAUGUGAAAUUGGGGCCUGAUGUCAAACAUAAUUUAUCAGGACAUCAUAUAAACUGAUUACAUGUGCCUGAACUAGGAUGUCCUGUGUUUUAAGCGAAAAAUAGAGCAAGCAUUCGUAUUUAAAAUUGUCCCUUACAAAAAGAAUCACGUCAACCAAAACAGAGAAUAAAAAUAUUCUACUAUGACAAUUUCUUCGUGAUAUUGAUUUGAGUUUCUUUUAAUAUUACAGAUUGAUACGGUAAUAAUAAAGUUUCACUAUCCCAGUUAAAUAUUCAUAACAGAGAUUUAUUCCUUUUUCUAUUAUAUCAAUUUCUAUGUUAACGAUUUUUUUUAUCUCGUCACAGUUCAGCUAAGUUUUUUUAUUUAUAAAAAUACUGUUACUCGGCCUGGACUUUUAACACGCUUGGUCAUCGGUUCAUGACCUGGCUAGUUCUCCUGAAGUUCGGUCUUUGACCUGUCCACUGGUACAGUUUCCCGCAUUUUUAAAAAUACUGUGACUCGGCCUGGCCGGCCUGGGCUUUUAACACGCUUGGUCAUUGGUUCGUGACCGAGCCCAGUUCUCCUAGAGCUCGGCCUUUGACUGGCACAGUUUACCCGCAUUUUCAAAUACUUUUUAAUUUUAAAUUUUCUUAAGCCUAAAACUUUUUUUUCAGGAUACUUCUGCCUACGACUACCGCCACCGGGAGAUUAACGUCAAUAAUUAUUAUGGGCCCGAUAACGGCGGGAGGGUCAAUGGACAAACGGUAGGUACUCUAGAAUAUUAUUAUCCAAUGUGAUAACGAAGAUGUUGCAACAUACUACGAAAACCUGCUAUUUGGUAAAGAUUUAAAUUAAUUAUUUUUUAUUAUAAUUAUUAUGCAUUUCAGUAC